ensembl:lncRNA
GCAUCGAAGAAACUCAAUAUGGAGUUUUCUUUCAACAUGGCAAGAUUAGCUAUUUGGGCAGGAAACUGCUCUUGCCUGGACUGUUUGUUUCUGUAUAAACUGGACAUGCAGGACCCACAAGAAAGUAACUGCUGAACUUACAAAACAAGACAGUACUUGAAGGGUUCCUGUUGAAAUGAAGAAGUGUGCCAAACACACUAUGGCCUAUGGGCUGAAGAUGGAUGCCCCAACGUUACAGAGGAACUUUGGUUGACUGUCCAGGUAGAGAGAUGUCUCUGUCAAUUCUAGAGUUUAUAUAUUAUCCUUCUGUGGUCUUUGAUAGAGUUGAAGACAGAUAGUUAUGGUUAUAGUUUUUUCAGUUAUUAUAAAAGAUAAGUUAUCCUUCUUUUUAUUUAGACAGAAAAGAGGAGAUGAUGGGGAAUGUACUUCUGUGUAUGUUCAUCUUAUUGAUUGUUGAAUAAAGUACUGUUUGGCCAAUGAGACAGCUAGUUGGGGGGGACUAGGAGUCAAGGAGGAUUCUGGGAAAUGUAGUAAAGAAGUGGUGACCUGCAGGAAGUGACAUAGCAGGGAGACUCAUAUAUAAACAAGGGCAAGAAGGAAGUGGGCCCCCUUUCUCUUCCUCCAGAGUCACCAUGUGAUCCCAGGAUGAGGACACCAAUGGAAGGCUUUCUCACUGAAGUUGGAGCUCACUGAUUGGCCAGACUGGGAGCCACAGGGAUCCUUCCAGUUGCUGAGGUGACAAAUGUGCACUGAGCUUCUCAGUGGUUACUGGGGACCCAAAUUCAGGUCCUCAUAUUUGUUUUUGCCUAGCCAUCUCCCGAAUCCUCUGAACAAGUUCAUGUUUCACGAAGGUAUCCUUAUGAGUGUACAACCUGUCAGGAGCCUGCUGCCCCUGAGCUUGCUGCCAGCAAGCAGAGGGGACCACUUCAGAAACUAUGGAUUUCUAAAACAGCAUUGCAGAGUGUGGAGAAGUACAUAAAGCCACCUAAAAUUGACGCUCUGAGAGAAGCCUGUGUUGCCUUUGAUUGACCAGGAAAAGCCACAAUGAUCAACAGACUAAACCACCUCUGAAAAUGGUUUUCAGUCUGCCGAGACUCUUCUGUCAUAAUUCUAGGCAUUCAUCACCAAUCCUGAGGCUCUGGCUUUCUCUUUCAGCUUUCGACAGCUUUACUUAAAAAAAUCUUUUCCUGGAACCAGCUGGCCUCAUUUGUACACAAAACUUGGCUUAAUAACCAGAAAUGUCUGAGGCUGCAUGAACUUUCAAGUGCUUAUCUUCAACGUCCCAGGCAGGCUUUUUGUCUGAAGGACGGGUAACAUGGGUGAGUGAGACAGAGUCUCACUAUGCAGUCCAGGCUGGCCUUGAUCAGAAUCUUUUUGCCCCUAUCUCUUGCCUGCUGGGGUCACAAGUGUAUGGGACCAUCCUGUAUCACUUCAUUAGACCAUUGCAAUGUUGGUCUUUCAGAUGCCAGGCCACACAGUAUUAUUUACUAAUGAAUCCAAAUAUCUGGAAGGCCAUAUUCAGUGCAAUUAGAGAAACCUAAAAUACAGUAAAUAUUCUUUAAAAUUCUGUUUUGAGUCGAGUGUGGUGGCACAAGCCUUUAACUCCGGUACUUGUGAGACAGAGGCAGGUGAAUCUCUGAGUGUUCAAGGCCAGGCUGAUCUACAGGGGGAGUUCCAGGACAGCCAGAGGUAAUAGGGAGACCCUGUCUCAAAAAAACAAAACAAAGCUACCCUCUUGAAGUUAUCACUACACCAAGUAGCUUCUUAAUACAAUUUACUAGUAGAGGAUGAAAAACGGUGUCUGCUGAUUACCUUUGCCUCUGUCCCUUUGUAUUUACCUUUAUUUAGAAUAAAGACUAUGCAGUUCUACGUGAGCUACAAGGUCUCUGCAAUUAAGUAACCUAAAUAAAAUCGCAUUUCUAUAUAAACAAACUUGUAGGGCCCAGGUAGAGAGCUCAUUCAGUAAAGUGCUUGCCAUGCAGAUAUGAGGGGUACCUCCAGCACCCCUAUUAAAAUCCAGGUGUGGUGGCAUUGCCUGUAAUCCCAGUAUAGGGAAGACAGAGACAAGAAAACCCCUCUAGGGACUCACGCACCUGCCAGCCUAGCCUAAUGGGUGAGCCCCAGGAUCAAUGAGAG